UACGUAGGUGGUAAGCGUUAUCCGGAAUUAUUGGGCGUAAAGAGCGCGCAGGUGGUUGAUUAAGUCUGAUGUGAAAGCCCACGGCUUAACCGUGGAGGGUCAUUGGAAACUGGUCGACUUGAGUGCAGAAGAGGGAAGUGGAAUUCCAUGUGUAGCGGUGAAAUGCGUAGAGAUAUGGAGGAACACCAGUGGCGAAGGCGGCUUCCUGGUCUGUAACUGACACUGAGGCGCGAAAGCGUGGGGAGCAAACAGGAUUAGAUACCCU
rnacentral:rRNA from 1 species